GUGCAUUACUUUCCAAAAUUGGGGCUGCCUGGUUAACUCAUAAAUACGUAACAUGGGAUUUUUAUUUUACAAAAAUCAGUGUUUUUAUAUGUAUAUAUAUAUUUUCGAAAGCAGGAGAGAUAAAUGUGCAAGUUUCCAGAGCUGUUUCUGAGCUGCAAGGCGAAAUCAAAACGCCGUCAGAGUGGGCGGGGUUUAGGCAGUCAAAGCUAGAGUCUGUUAGAAAAAAGCGCGAAAGAAGCAUUUGAAUUUCUGUUUCGUCGUCAGUGACAGAAAAGCUAAGUUAAUAGUCGAAUUUACGUUUUCGUAACAGCCUUUAACGUUAAGCUCUGUUAAUAAGUCUAGUAUUUUUCAAAUGUGCGUUUCUUUAUACACGGCUUUGUCUUGUGGUUGUAACGUUAUUUAUUUUGUUUUCGUCUUUGUGUUUAUCUUUCACUUUUUGCCUGAGAGGAAUUCAGCGAAAACGUUUCCGUGAGAGCGCCGACGGAGACGUUUUUACAGCCUUUAAACGUUAUUAGUAUUAGUUAGCCAACAGUUUACCUAGUUAUCGGUAGCUAGCUAGCCAGGAGAAUAUUUUUCCCCCACCGGUUGCCUCAGCCGGAGUUUCCAUCUUGGGAUCGCGGAUCCUUCACCAACUGCUAAUGGGGAUUCGGGACUUCCAGAAAAUCAGAGACUAACGGUACCACUCCCUCAGAUGUAGAAGAGGCCCAGCUGUCUCCUCCCUAUCACUCCAGUCCAAGGAUUAUCAUGCUUGGAGAGACUGCAAAAAAAUGGAUGCUGUCGAUCAAGGGGAGGGUCGUAACCCCACCUGGUGCUCACAUGGUGGACUUCACCACUGCCUUGGCCGCUCUCUUCGCCUGUUACGUAUUCAACCUACAGUAUUAGGUGGAAGCCAGCACAACACUGGAGUUUGAUCAGAGGGCUCCAAAUAGGAUUCUCUGUCUCCAAGGUCAAGGCAUGCAAGAGGCCAUAGACCUUUGCCAAGUGGCAGGGGAAGUUUAUUUUCCUUUCUGUUUUAAAUGUUCAUGCAAAUGUUAAAUAUAUAUAUUUUUUAAUGUUCAAUGUUUUAUUUUAUUUCAAUAUUGCCAUAAUGUUAUUUAUUGCUCUUUAGAAUGGGGUAAUCAGUUAUUUGCACAACUUCAAAGUAGUUAAAUUUUUUGACUGUAUUGUAUCAAUUUGCAUUAUUGUUCCAUUAUAGCAACUAGUCAUACGGAACUAGUGAAUGAACUAGUAACAGUUUGCUCUGUAACUUUACAAAUCUUGUAAUGAAAUAGGCUCGUUGUAUCAAUUUGUAUUAGCCUAUUGUUCCGUCAUAGCAACCUGUCAUACAGAACUAUUGAAUGAACUAAUAACAAUUUGCU